AUGAACGCUGGCGGCGUGCCUAAUACCUGCAAGUCGAGCGAACAGACGAGGAGCUUGCUCCUCUGACGUUAGCGGCGGACGGGUGAGUAACACGUGGAUAACCUACCUAUAAGACUGGGAUAACUUCGGGAAACCGGAGCUAAUACCGGAUAAUAUAUUGAACCGCAUGGUUCAAUAGUGAAAGACGGUUUUGCUGCCACUUAUAGAUGGAUCCGCGCCGCAUUAGCUAGUUGGUAAGGUAACGGCUUACCAAGGCAACGAUGCGUAGCCGACCUGAGAGGGUGAUCGGCCACACUGGAACUGAGACACGGUCCAGACUCCUACGGGAGGCAGCAGUAGGGAAUCUUCCGCAAUGGGCGAAAGCCUGACGGAGCAACGCCGCGUGAGUGAUGAAGGUCUUCGGAUCGUAAAACUCUGUUAUUAGGGAAGAACAAAUGUGUAAGUAACUAUGCACGUCUUGACGGUACCUAAUCAGAAAGCCACGGCUAACUACGUG
rnacentral:rRNA from 1 species